GAUGAACGCUGGCGGCGUGCCUAAUACAUGCAAGUCGAGCGAAUGGAUUAAGAGCUUGCUCUUAUGAAGUUAGCGGCGGACGGGUGAGUAACACGUGGGUAACCUGCCCAUAAGACUGGGAUAACUCCGGGAAACCGGGGCUAAUACCGGAUAACAUUUUGAACCGCAUGGUUCGAAAUUGAAAGGCGGCUUCGGCUGUCACUUAUGGAUGGACCCGCGUCGCAUUAGCUAGUUGGUGAGGUAACGGCUCACCAAGGCAACGAUGCGUAGCCGACCUGAUGGGGUGAUCGGCCACACUGGGACUGAGACACGGCCCAGACUCCUACGGGAGGCAGCAGUAGGGAAUCUUCCGCAAUGGACGAAAGGCUGACGGAGCAACGCCGCGUGAGUGAUGAAGGCUUUCGGGUCGUAAAACUCUGUUGUUAGGGAAGAACAAGUGCUAGUUGAAUAAGCUGGCACCUUGACGGUACCUAACCAGAAAGCCACGGCUAACUACGUGCCAGCCGCCGCGGUAA
rnacentral:rRNA from 1 species